rnacentral:rRNA from 1 species
GCGAACGCUGGCGGCAGGCUUAACACAUGCAAGUCGAGCGGGCCCUUCGGGGUCAGCGGCGGACGGGUGAGUCACGCGUGGGAACGUGCCUUCUGGUUCGGAAUAACUCAGGGAAACUUGAGCUAAUACCGGAUACGCCCUUUUGGGGAAAGGUUUACUGCCGGAAGAUCGGCCCGCGUCUGAUUAGCUAGUUGGUGGGGUAACGGCCUACCAAGGCGACGAUCAGUAGCUGGUCUGAGAGGAUGAUCAGCCACACUGGGACUGAGACACGGCCCAGACUCCUACGGGAGGCAGCAGUGGGGAAUAUUGGACAAUGGGCGCAAGCCUGAUCCAGCCAUGCCGCGUGAGUGAUGAAGGCCUUAGGGUUGUAAAGCUCUUUUAUCCGGGACGAUAAUGACGGUACCGGAGGAAUAAGCCCCGGCUAACUUCGUG